CUUGAUUGCGCUAUAACUGAG
rnacentral:miRNA from 1 species